ACCUCAGAAAUAUGAGGCAGGAAUGCUAAGCACAAUGUCGCCGCCGUAUUGCGAGAUUGCUGAAAGAAUGUUUGAACAUAAUCUUUGCAGCCAGUUGCAUCGACUGCAUGGAAAGAAUGCUCAUGCAUUAAGGCGGAGACACAUUCAAGUGCUCGCAAUGGUAUUAAGUGUGCAGACAUCUGAAGGUUGGCAAGGCUUGGCUGGAGAUCGGGCAUCUGCAGACUGGCUGUUUGAAGUACAUGGCUAACAUAUCAGCAAGGCGUGACUGGAAAGCUCGGACACGCAGACCCACAAUCCACCCUCCCCAAACCAGACACCCCCCGCACACCCCAACACUCUACUCCCACCUGUUGUUUUUCCAGAAGUGAAAGCCACACAGGAGGGAGGUCAAAGCAUGAGGUGGGGGUGCAGGGCUGGGGGGUCUUUUCAGCCUGUGACUCAGUAAAAUGUGAGCGGGUGAGGCGGGGGGUGGGUGUCAGGAAAGAGGCUCUGAGUCAGCCCGAGCUAUAAAAAGGAUGCUGAUGGUUAAAUAAGUGGAGUAGUGAAACAGCACUGCUCCGUCUGGCAUGCAGACCCCUUCUAGCAUAAAGUAAGCCAAGGUGAGCAAGAACUGUUGGCUGUUGGUGGGCUGCCCCAUUGACCGGGUGGCUCAUCAAGAAUCAACUUUCAGAGGCUUGCGACAUUUCUCAACCACAUUUCCCAUACUGUUGCAAUCAUUACCUGAGUCAUCUCCUUUGGCAGCAACAUACAUUGAGCCCCCCACCACCACCACCUCCAGCAGCACCCUUCAAUGUGCAUCCAAUUCCUGUGUGACAUAACGCUGGAGAAUGUGUCUCUCCAUUCCUGCCCUCGAGCUCCCCAAAUAGAACUUGUGGAACGUAUCCAUGUACCCAAACAGUUAUCUCACGCCAAUGCUUAUUAUGAUACUGCACAUGGUGAGAGGUGUUGUAAUAUUUGCCCUAUAAAAGAAAGCGCACAGUCUUGUACUGCACAGAUCUGCAUUACCACAUUAAUGUUGAAAGCUGGGAGCAUGAAAUUCGAGGGCCAGAAGUAGUUACUGCAUCUACACUAGAAAGACAAAGUUCUGGCCUUUAUGUUACUGAAAAUAUCAGAGCAUUUCUUAGAAGACAAUCGGAUAUUAUGGAGGACCCCUUCCCCCUAUGGGUCCAUUAAAUCGAGGUUCCACUGUACAUAUAAACAACAAAUUGAUGGAUGUAGUAUUUUUGAGUUCAGCAUUCAAGGAUAAUAAUUUGUUCAGAUGUUGAUCCCAUCUGAUUUUGGACUUGAGGCAGGAUACAUCCUGGACUGGGAACAUGUAGACAGGGAAACCAAGCAAACUCUACACCGGAAGACCAAAACAGAGAUUCAAACCCAGAAUCCUGAAAAAUGUGAGGCUGACUUGCUAACCAUUUCCACCAUGCAGCCCUCAGAAUAUGCAGUCCAACUGCCACCAAAACAGAGUUAUUAUUUUCAUUCAGACUUUUUUUUUUAUGCAAAACUAUUGAACGUGAUGCGGAUGUAAUACCUUUUCUUUCGGAAAAACCCCGCAAAGAAUCGGGCACUAACUUUGAAGGUAAAAGACAACACUCAGAGGAUGGUGAGCAACAGUAGCAAGAGAGGAAAUGGUCCCUCUACAACAUGUCUGAACUCUUGCUGACUCUCCUAGAUUUCGACUAAACUCCUUAAACAGGAAGUAGUUUCUCUAAGUUGUGCAAAAAGGGGACAAAACAAGAACUGAAAAUUUGGUCUAAAGACACAGAGGAGGUGAGGCAGGUGUGUUUCGAUGUUAGCCACUAAAGAGAAUAUUCAUUCAUCAUCUGAGCUGCUUAUCCUCACAAGGCUCAUGGGCGUGCUGGAGCUUAUCCCAGAUAACUGGGUAAAAAGGGGACAACACCAUCGACGGUCCCCAGUGGGUCGCAGGGGACAUAUAAACACCAUCACAGAGGGCGAACUGAACCCAUGCAGCCCGCACCAAAGGCAGGGGUCACGGGAAAGCUGGAGGCUAUCCCAGCUAGUUUUGGGCGAAAAGUGGACUACACCCUAAACUGGUUGCGAGUCAGUCACAGAGCAGAUAUCGACACGAUCACUGAGAGGAAAUCCAUCCAACGUUGCCUGUACAAAAGUCAGGCGUGUGUACCACUACACUAUCAGUGACUCUACUUUUAUAUAGUUAGAGCUUAUUUUCAUCAAGGAUUUUUAUUUUCUUCUGUGUCUAAUUUUAAAGAGAGCAAGGAACAUUGUGCCGGGAACACGAUGCGACGUCGAGGCCCUGACUUUGACACUCACAGUGAAAGCUCCAUUUUGCGGUUAGCGCAUAGCUUCAAGGUUGAGGUCAGAGGUCAGGCCCAACAGAUUGUCGUGGGCACUAUAGAAAAAGCAUUAUUUGUGUGUAUGUGUGUGUGUGCAUGCUUGGGUGCGUGGCCUUCUGGACUGUGGUAUGAUAGUGAAGUUCCUGAGCUAUCAGGUGUCCCUCUAUGGUCGAGUCAGAGCCAUGCAGCAGCCUCCAGAGCCCGACCGAGGAUAUUUUAGAAAGGCUUCAGUUAGCGGCAGCGAAUUAAGUCGAUUCUUCUGAGGGGUUUCUCUUCAUUAAAAAAAAUUCAACUUUCAUUCUGCAGCGAUUACGGAUUGGCAAGAUGAAGAAAGACAUUGUGCGUGUUGAGAAGAGGAGCCUGACGUGUCUCUCACCAACAAGUCAAGCACUCCUAAAAGUGACUUGAUGGUCCACAGUAGCAUGUUGAGAGAAAACAACUUGUGCCUGCCGGCAAGGUCAAAAAACAGCGUCGCUUUCAGCAACAGCCUGGUGCAGAAGUGCCUAGAACUGGAAUGAAGCAGCUGCUUGGACAGAAAAAAAAAAAGCUCCUCCACCCCCCAGCCUGUUCUCUGUCCAUCUGCAGCUCCUUUUCUCUUUGUGACCAUUGAAGAAUAGCGGCUUUGUAACACAGUGCUGUGUGUGUGUGCGUGUGCACGCGUGUUGACUACUUUCAGUAAGAGACGACAGGAAUUGUUCAUUUCAAGUGACUUCCCUGAGGAUGUGACCAUGGGGGAAAAAAUAUGAAUGUAAUGGGAAGAAUAAAAUACAUCCUCUAAAUAUGUUCUUGAAGGUAUCAUACUGGGCAUCCUCCCAAUAAGUAGCACCAAGUUUACCAACACAUGGUUGAGUGAUCGAGCAUUCGCAACAUCCAUUCUCAAUCAUUUAAAAGUAUGGAUGAAUAUCAUACGAUUCUGCUAGGGUACCUGAUAACCCUGCUUUUUUUGUGUUCUGUCAAAAUGUUUUUUUCUUGUCACGUCAAACCUGUUUGCAGGUUUGAUUUUUUUCAUCCCAAUGACAUACUCCUUGCUAAAUA